GGAAAUGCUUUCACUUCUACGCACAGUCAGACAUUUACUUUAGUGUCUGACCUUUUUCUACCUAAUGUUUGAGAAAAGGGUAUUAUCCUUUUCUUGGAAACAAUGCAGGGGCCUCUCUGUACUUUCUAUCCUGUUGCACCGCACAGGACCUGACCUGCACCGUCACUCCCGAGGCUGAUGGCCGAACAACCUACAGGAUCCCGGACUUUAACCAAUCGCAAUGCCAGAUUUCAUGGACCGAUGCCAAUAACACUGUGCUGGCCAGGCAAGACCAACAAAGAGAUGACAACGUGGGGACAACUCUCAUCACACCAACAUGUAUGGACAUAGUCUUGUACAAGAGAGACUGUAUUUCAGAGGGGAUUGUACAGACGGCAACCUGUAAUGCAACUUGCAAUGGACCUGCUGGGCUUGUGACAGAAAACGGUCCUCGCACUCAUGGCAUUAUCAUCUGUGUUGCUGUUGCCAUCUUGGCACUGGGAAUCAUUACUGGUGUUGCUGUCUGGAGAAAAAGAUCAGAGUACGUGCAAGAGACUUACUGAGAGGCCUCCACCCAUAUCUGCCACAUUUUUGAAAACAGCCAUGAACUACACUCCCACUCCAGGUCAACCCGAGGAUGUUAAUAUUUAAUCAGCCACUGGGUAGAGGAGCUGUCUGUUUUAUGCUUGACAACCUACAAUAUUUGUAUGAUGAGUCUUCCCCUGUAGUGUAAGGUUAAGAUUCCAUUUCCUUGCAUAAAAAACACAUACAUAUAUACUAGGGCCAGGCUGCCUUUUUACCUCUGAAGCCCUAUGUUAGCCAAGCUGACAUCCAUCAUGGACAACACCUGUCAUCCACUGUGUCAGACCGUGGAGGCUCUGAUCAGCUCCUUCAGUGGCAGACUGUUACACCCACAGUGUAGGAAAGAGCGCUAUUGAAGGUCAUUCUUCCCCACUGCUGCCAGACUGUACAACACAACAGUAUAACCCUGUUCUAUAUGUCACAUCUGUACUGGUCUGUGAUCUUUAUCCCAUGUGAAUCUGGUAUAUCUGUUAUUUGAGAAGUAAAAAUUCUACUGCGAAAAACCUAUUUAAGCAAACACAGGGAUCCCAUUAUAAUAUUCUUCUAGUGCAACUCAAUGUUUCUGUGACCUGUAGUCAUUUGCAACAUUCUUUGUUUCCUCCGCACCAGGACUGGGAAAUAUUUCAAAAUAAUUUGAUUAACUGAGAUUAAACUUCUGAAAUUGUGAAAAAUUGCAAAAUAGAAGUUAUUCUUCUGGAGAGUUUUCGUACAACAAAAAUAACCAAUUUGCUUUCGCAAUGCAUUCAUUGUGACUGUAACUGUGUCAUAUAAUUUUAGUAAAAAAAGUAUUUUUUACUCGAGUUUUGUCUUUAGUUCAUGCAGCCAAAACACAAUUGAUUAUGAAAAUUAAGAUUUAAUCUUUUUGCCAGAUUGCCUUCAGCUGAUAAGCUAUUGUGGGAAAUAUUAGAUUUCCAUGAAGUCAUUUGCUCUGAUCUUAAAACAGAGCACACCUCCCAUACUCUCUUUCUCCUCUGUCCCCCUGUGUUGUCAAGUUACAUUCCAGUUAUAUUCCAGUGUUUCAUUGUUAUUACAUUCUAAUGAAUUUGUAUGGAAGCACAAUUAAGCCUCCAUUUCCAUUCUAUUUUUUAUAUCAAGUCUUUCACACUUGACCAUGACAGUUUUACAAAUGCAUUACUUGCAUUAUGUCAGUGCCAUUGUCCAAACACUUUUUAUAUUAUUAUACUUUGUUGUGAACAGUGAAACAGAUGUUUUACUAGUUGCCUCCUAUCUUGCCUUUUGCACUGCUGUAUUUUAUACUUUGCCUUAUCAUUCAACCAUGCACUAUUUGUAUUGCUCAGUGUUUGUGAGAGCAGAAAACUGAGACUGAACAUCUGAUUUAUUAAGUAUAAAAUCCCUUUUCCUUUAUAUUGAAACAACUGAAAGACAAGCACUUUAGCCUGAGUUAUCCUACUGUUUUCUGAGAUCAGAAUUGUUAUUUUUUAUCAUCGUCUAUUUGACAAAUGUAGAUGUGAAAACAGACUCAACCUGCACUUUUAACAAGCCCAGCUUUAAAGACAAAUAACACAGCCAAAGUUUAGAUCUGUUGUCUGUGCUCCACAUAGAGGAGCAUGUCAUUUCAUUGGGAUGAAGAUACUUGACGCUGUGGAAGCUGAGAGGUGGUUUCAGUUCUAGUUCCACUCAGGUCUGGAACAUAAAACUAAAACUGUAGCAUUACAGCCAUCACCACGAUCUGAAAAAAAGCACUUAUUUACUUGAUUUUGAUAACUUGUAUAUCUAAAUAUUAAAUAGUAAUAUUUACUGAAGUUAGAUUUAUAGUGAUAUUAUAGUGUACCAAAUGCAAAUAAUGAUACUUAAUAAUGAUGAAGUAUUAUUAUGAAUAUUCCUAGUUUGUAUGUUGGAUUUUUAAUAUUCUGCUCUCAUAUACUAAAGCUAAUACAUUUGUAAGAUAUGGUUGAUGUAUUUUUUAAAAUGUAUGUAUUUGCAUAUAUUCACUAAUGUAUGUCUAGCUUAAUUAUAAACAUUGUAUUUUGUAAUGUUAUACAGUUCAUGUUGUCUGUUUCACUGAACAGCAUUAAAGCAAAUAUUGAAAAAACA